UGUGUGUUAGUGGAAGCGUCUGGAAAGGCGCGCGAUACAGGGUGACAGCCCCGUACACAAAAAUGCACAUGCUGUGAGCUCGAUGAGUAGGGCGGGACACGUGGUAUCCUGUCUGAAUAUGGGGGGACCAUCCUCCAAGGCUAAAUACUCCUGACUGACCGAUAGUGAACCAGUACCGUGAGGGAAAGGCGAAAAGAACCCCGGCGAGGGGAGUGAAAAAGAACCUGAAACCGUGUACGUACAAGCAGUGGGAGCACGCUUAGGCGUGUGACUGCGUACCUUUUGUAUAAUGGGUCAGCGACUUAUAUUCUGUAGCAAGGUUAACCGAAUAGGGGAGCCGAAGGGAAACCGAGUCUUAACUGGGCGUUAAGUUGCAGGGUAUAGACCCGAAACCCGGUGAUCUAGCCAUGGGCAGGUUGAAGGUUGGGUAACACUAACUGGAGGACCGAACCGACUAAUGUUGAAAAAUUAGCGGAUGACUUGUGGCUGGGGGUGAAAGGCCAAUCAAACCGGGAGAUAGCUGGUUCUCCCCGAAAGCUAUUUAGGUAGCGCCUCGUGAAUUCAUCUCCGGGGGUAGAGCACUGUUUCGGCAAGGGGGUCAUCCCGACUUACCAACCCGAUGCAAACUGCGAAUACCGGAGAAUGUUAUCACGGGAGACACACGGCGGGUGCUAACGUCCGUCGUGAAGAGGGAAACAACCCAGACCGCCAGCUAAGGUCCCAAAGUCAUGGUUAAGUGGGAAACGAUGUGGGAAGGCCCAGACAGCCAGGAUGUUGGCUUAGAAGCAGCCAUCAUUUAAAGAAAGCGUAAUAGCUCACUGGUCGAGUCGGCCUGCGCGGAAGAUGUAACGGGGCUAAACCAUGCACCGAAGCUGCGGCAGCGACACUAUGUGUUGUUGGGUAGGGGAGCGUUCUGUAAGCCUGCGAAGGUGUGCUGUGAGGCAUGCUGGAGGUAUCAGAAGUGCGAAUGCUGACAUAAGUAACGAUAAAGCGGGUGAAAAGCCCGCUCGCCGGAAGACCAAGGGUUCCUGUCCAACGUUAAUCGGGGCAGGGUGAGUCGACCCCUAAGGCGAGGCCGAAAGGCGUAGUCGAUGGGAAACAGGUUAAUAUUCCUGUACUUGGUGUUACUGCGAAGGGGGGACGGAGAAGGCUAUGUUGGCCGGGCGACGGUUGUCCCGGUUUAAGCGUGUAGGCUGGUUUUCCAGGCAAAUCCGGAAAAUCAAGGCUGAGGCGUGAUGACGAGGCACUACGGUGCUGAAGCAACAAAUGCCCUGCUUCCAGGAAAAGCCUCUAAGCAUCAGGUAACAUCAAAUCGUACCCCAAACCGACACAGGUGGUCAGGUAGAGAAUACCAAGGCGCUUGAGAGAACUCGGGUGAAGGAACUAGGCAAAAUGGUGCCGUAACUUCGGGAGAAGGCACGCUGAUAUGUAGGUGAAGUCCCUCGCGGAUGGAGCUGAAAUCAGUCGAAGAUACCAGCUGGCUGCAACUGUUUAUUAAAAACACAGCACUGUGCAAACACGAAAGUGGACGUAUACGGUGUGACGCCUGCCCGGUGCCGGAAGGUUAAUUGAUGGGGUCAGCGCAAGCGAAGCUCUUGAUCGAAGCCCCGGUAAACGGCGGCCGUAACUAUAACGGUCCUAAGGUAGCGAAAUUCCUUGUCGGGUAAGUUCCGACCUGCACGAAUGGCGUAAUGAUGGCCAGGCUGUCUCCACCCGAGACUCAGUGAAAUUGAACUCGCUGUGAAGAUGCAGUGUACCCGCGGCAAGACGGAAAGACCCCGUGAACCUUUACUAUAGCUUGACACUGAACAUUGAGCCUUGAUGUGUAGGAUAGGUGGGAGGCUUUGAAGUGUGGACGCCAGUCUGCAUGGAGCCGACCUUGAAAUACCACCCUU
rnacentral:rRNA from 1 species